CCCUUAGAUGUCCGGGGCCGCACGCGCGCUACACUGAAGGAAUCAGCGUGGCUUUCUCCCUGACCCGAAAGGGUUGGGAAACCCGUUGAAUCUCCUUCGUGAUAGGGAUUGGGGCUUGAAAUUGUUCCCCAUGAACGAGGAAUUCCCAGUAAGCGCGAGUCAUAAGCUCGCGUUGAUUACGUCCCUGCCCUUUGUACACACCGCCCGUCGCUACUACCGAUUGAAUGAUCCGAUGAAUACCAUGGAUUGAGAGUACGAAUAGGUUCGCUUAUUUCUGCUGCUCGAGAAGUGGAGUAAAUCUUAUCAUUUAGAGGAAGGAGAAGUCGUAACA
rnacentral:rRNA from 1 species